UGGGGCGGCCUCUUGCAGUUCCCGCCCUGACGCAGCGCGAGAUUAGAGCUCCCGCUAGUCUCCCGCUGACCCUGGGCCUCAAAGGCAAGCCCUGAGCUCAGUCACACGGGGUGGCGGUGAUAUGGUUUGGCUCUGUGUGCUUCACUCUGCCUCACUCGCCUUCCGCCUGCUCGACGCUGCCCUGUUCCCCGCAGGCGGCCGCCGUGGAGGGCAGGCACCGCGCUCCCUGGCUGCUCCCGGGGCCUUCCAAGCACAGCCACGGCCAUGAGGCAGAAACCGAGACCUUCAGGGGCCUGCGGGCGGAGCUCCACAAGCCCAGCUGCUACACUGAAGGGAAAAACCUGAGGAAGCCCCUGACCUUCUUGAAUAACCUGGAUAUUGCAGAAUCAAGCCUGGCACACGGCACUGGCAGAGACGCAGAAGGGAAAGUGUCCAGCGAUGAGAGACCCGGUUCAAACCCCAGCUCCUCUAGAUGCCUGCCCAACCCAGACCUGCCUCAUGGGCAUCAGCUGCUCCCUGUGAGACGUGGAAGCACUCACCCUGGAGCCCUGGUUCUUCCUGCCUUGCUGCUGACGGACAAGGCCCAGCUGCCACCACCUGGCUGCCUUGGGCCCCCGUCGACUAUGUGGGCCCUCCUUUCCUUUCCCCCCUUCUCCUCAGCUUUACUGAAGUAUAAUUAACAAAUAAACAUUGUACAUUUACAUCAUUUAAGUGUAUAAUGCAAUGAUUUGAUAUACAUGCAGUUUGUGAAAUGAAUACCACAAUCAAGGUAAUUAACAUGUCCAUCAACUCACAGAGUUACGUGUGUGUGUGUGUGGGGUGAGGACACUUAAGCUCUACUCUCUCAGCUGAUUCCAAACACACAAUAUGGUUGUAUUAACUAAAGUCCCCAAGCUGCAGCUAAAUCCCCAGAACUUACUCAUCUUAUAACUGAAUGUCUGUAUCCUUUGAUCAAGAAUCCCUUUGCCCUUUUUCCUUUUUUUGACUUUGUUGAAAGCAAAAUAACAGUCCCACCUCCUCUCACUUAAAACAGGGGAAGGUUUACACCCUUUACCCCGGAGUAAGAGGGAGUCCUUUACUUUCCUGAAGUGUAGAACCGUCCUUCUGCUGAGAUGGGGUCCUGUGGCCUCAGCGGGACAGUGGUAUCUGCACGACCUGGC
rnacentral:lncRNA from 1 species